rnacentral:tRNA from 1 species
GCGCCGAGUCCACGCCGCUGAACGAGCCUCUCCAACAGGCUCGGGCGAAUCCCGGGUUCGAAUCCCGGCCGGCGCA